ACGACGACAUCUAAUCUCGUUUUCUUUCUCACGAGCCACAUUGAUUUAUG
ensembl:ncRNA F18E2.8 ncRNA